AGAAUCAACGCUGGCGGCGUGCCUAACACAUGCAAGUCGAACGAGAAAGUGGAGCAAUCCAUGAGUAAAGUGGCGACCGGGUGAGUAACACGUGACUAACCUACCUUCGAGUGGGGGAUAACCUCGGGAAACCGGGGCUAAUACCGCAUAACAUCUUUGAAGUGGAAAUUUCGGAGAUCAAAGGAGCAAUUCGCUGGAAGAGGGGGUCGCGGCUGAUUAGCUAGUUGGCGGGGUAAUGGCCCACCAAGGCUUAGAUCGGUAGCCGGCCUGAGAGGGCGCACGGCCACACUGGAACUGAAACACGGUCCAGACUCCUACGGGAGGCAGCAGUGGGGAAUUUUGCGCAAUGGGGGAAACCCUGACGCAGCAACGCCGCGUGGAGGAUGAAGUCCCUUGGGACGUAAACUCCUUUCGACCCGGACGAUAAUGACGGUACGGGUGGAAGAAGCCCGGCUAACUUCGUGCCAGCAGCCGC
rnacentral:rRNA from 1 species